GAGAAUAUAGCUCAGCGGGAGAGCGCUGUGCUUAGCAUCACAAGAUCCUGGGUUCAAUCCCCAGUACCUCU
rnacentral:tRNA from 1 species